CUCCAUGAAAAAGCUGACUGUUUUCUGCAAUAUCCUGUUUGCGAAUUGCAUUCAAAGUCUGACUGUAAUAGGGCCUGAUGUAUGAAUUGCUGUAGAAUUAGUAAUGAAGUAUCUUCAGAAUUAUACAAUAGGAUCUUUUCAUCAUCUAAUAAUUGAAAAAAAUAUGGCAGUCUCCAUUCUGUGAAAAUAAAAGAUUUUUGUAACCGUAUUGGUUUUAGUGUGUAACAUUAAAACAUUCACACUGAAACUUUUGCCUGAACUUGUUUUCUAAGAACUUGGUUUCAGUAUAUUUCAAAGCACGUGAAAAAGUAAUUAAAAAACAAGUAGUUGAA